rnacentral:rRNA from 1 species
UACGGAGGGUGCGAGCGUUGUCCGGAAUCACUGGGCGUAAAGGGCGCGUAGGCGGCCUGAUAAGUAGGGGGUGAAAUCCUGCGGCUUAACCGCAGGGCUGCCUUCUAAACUGUCAGGCUAGAGCACGGUAGAGGCAGGUGGAAUUCCCGGUGUAGCGGUGGAAUGCGUAGAGAUCGGGAAGAACAUCAGUGGCGAAGGCGGUCUGCUGGGCCGUUGCUGACGCUGAGGCGCGACAGCGUGGGGAGCAAACAGG